rnacentral:rRNA from 1 species
GACGAAGGAUGCAAGCGUUAUCCGGAUUCAUUGGGUUUAAAGGGCGCGUAGGUGGCCUUAUAAGUCAGUGGUGAAAUCUCUGGGCUUAACCCAGAAAUUGCCAUUGAUACUGUAGGGCUUGAGUAUAGAUGCCGUUGGCGGAAUAUGACAUGUAGUGGUGAAAUACAUAGAGAUGUCAUAGAACACCGAUUGCGAAGGCAGCGAACGAAACUAUAACUGACACUGAGGCUCGAAAGUGUGGGGAUCAAACAGG